UUGUCGUCAGCUCGUGUCGUGAGAUGUUGGGUUAAGUCCCGCACGAGCGCAACCCUCGUCCUAUGUUGCCAGCGGGUCAUGCCGGGGACUCAUGGGAGACUGCCGGGGUCAACUCGGAGGAAGUGGGGAUGACGUCAAAUCAUCAUGCCCCUUAUGUCUUGGGCUUCACGCAUGCUACAAUGGCCGGUACAAAGGGCUGCGAUACCGCGAGGUGGAGCGAAUCCCAGAAAGCCGGUCUCAGUUCGGAUUGGGGUCUGCAACUCGACCCCAUGAAGUCGGAGUCGCUAGUAAUCGCAGAUCAGCAACGCUGCGGUGAAUACGUUCCCGGGCCUU
rnacentral:rRNA from 1 species